rnacentral:tRNA from 1 species
UUUUAAUAGCUUAUAUUAGAGCAUGAUAUUGAAGAUAUUAAGGAGGAACUAUUCUUUAAAAUAU